GUCAUGUAUUAAAAAGAUCAGAAUAAACGUGUUCGUUGGUGUUUGGUUAACACUUGCGGGCUUGCACCCCAAGUUUAUCAAGUACCAGAAAUGAUCCUUCCGCAGGUUCACCUACGGAAA
rnacentral:misc_RNA from 1 species